rnacentral:rRNA from 1 species
GACGUAGGUGGCGAACGUUAUCCGGAAUCAUUGGGCGUAAAGGGUGCGUAGAUGGCAUAAUAAGUUAUUAGUGGGAAAUCGAGGCUCAACCUCGUGGAAGCUAGUAAUACUGUUUUGCUGGAGUGCAGAAGAGGUUAACGGAACUCCAUGUGGAGCGGUAAAAUGCGUAGAUAUAUGGAAGAACAUCAAUAACGGCGAAGGCAGUUAACUAUUCUGUUACUGACAUUGAGGCACGAAAGCGUGGGGAGCA